GUUUUUUUGAGGGUGACAAAUUCCCUGGGGAGCUCUACUUCUUUGGAGUGGUGUUUGAUCUGCGCUUGUCCUUUGUGGUGGCAGUCUGGCAGAGUUUUCUUGUUGGUGCUUCCCAGUGCUGUGAGUUGCUCUCUUUGGGUUUGGUGGUUGCUGGUUUCUGGUACGGUGGCAAUGCUGCCGUCAUUCUUUCAGUUCGGCCGAGCAUGUGAUAUUCUAAACAAUUGAUAUUAGGUUUUAAUUAGAGUGGGCUAUGGGCUUUGUUAUUUGGGGUUUGAUAGUUAAAGUUGCACU
rnacentral:misc_RNA from 1 species